UUCUUCUUUCUAUAGAUGCAUCCAGAUCAAGCGGCCGGUGGCGGCCGGCGGCGGCCCGUGGAGGCAGGGGAUAAAGUCCGGGCAGCGGCUUCGACGGGGAGACCCUCCACCACACCAUCUCUCCGAUCCUUUCUCUCUCUUUUUCUCCCCAUGGCCGCCAGCCACAUCGCGGUGGGGAAUCAGUGGAGGAACCGCCUUCACAAUAACGGCGUGGUCUUCCACGGGAGGUGAAGGCUACGCUCGCUCCUUCCACGGGUCUUGGCGGCGAGGGCGCCGUGCGGCCGUCGAUUUCGAGGAUGGCGCUACAAGAGACACCUGCAGAGGUCGCCGCCUCGUGGGGCCUCGAGGCCGUGGGCGCCCCGCAGUAGUUAGGGAUACAACCCCUGCCUCUAGAGGUCGGGGGCGGCGAGGACGUCGUGCGUCCGUCUCCUGUGGCCACUCCUCCGCAGUCGCGUGGCCCGGUGGCGCACGCGGCAUGGACCAUGUUUCGGGCUUCUUGUGCUAAAAAAUAUGGGGCUAUGCAGUUAGCGGCGGCAAUGCAGAUCAUUUGGUGAAGAACGUCUCCAUAGGUAGUUUCAGUUCUGCAAAUAUGCACCAUAGUGUUGUCCACCGCAGGCCUUGCGUCCGGCAUGACCAGCUGACGGGCCGGGUUGUUACCUUUCUCCGGUGUGUUCUUUCCUGCGGGAUGGCCUGCAAGGUCCGCACCUGUGCGCUGAGGUUUGCACUCGGACUACAGCGGUUACUUCGUGGGGUUGUCCUUCAUUAUGUUCGGUUGUGUUGUUAGUAUUUCAUAUUGCCGAGGUUGUGCGUCUUUCUUCAGUUUCUGGUCGCGGCAUCGAUGUGUCAUCCUUGUGAGGAGAUAAGUCAUGCUAACUGACCUAUUGCUUAUUUUGGAGGUUUGCUGCACUAAUUUGUCUGUUCUUAUAUGUGGUCUUUUUGGGUUUUAGCUCAUGUUCCUCAAGGUCAACAGCAACAGAUUCGUCUCUUUUGGUGAUCACGUCUAACUGGUUUGGAUCAUGCUGUUCUACAUUAUUGGGGAUGGUCUUCCUCUAACGUGUUUAAACCGGAGGCAUGGCCGUGUGGUUCUCUGAUUAUUUUAUUUGCUGUAGGCAUUAUUUUCUCAUAUGUUUCAUUAAGAGGUAACCAAGUUUCUUCUAGAGUACUUUCUGUCUCAUGAUGUCACAUUAUGACAUAUUGUUUAGAACUUCUAAGAUUGCAGGUAACUAACUUUCUUCUAGAGUACUUUCUUUCUCACGAUGUCACAUAAUGGCAUAUUUUUUUUAGAACUUCCGAGAUUGCAGUAUGAAUACUAUUGUUUUUCGUGUCCAUCGCCUCUCAUCUCAUGGAUUAAUAUAAUGAUUGGUAGAUAACAUGUCUUUAAUUAGUUCUUCACGUAGCAAUAUUUGAUAUUUUUUUACCCAAUAAUAAAUAAAGACAUUGCCAACAGAUACCUGUAACAAAAAUGGUACAUAGCAUUAUCCAUAUGCUAUAUAUGUGUUUUUCUACAAUUAGAUAACAAUGUAUUCAGUCCACACUGCACUAUACGAAAAGGAAAAACUCAUCUACCAUCAAGUAGCUUUUAGGAGUUCGUUCACCAAUUUUCAACUUACUUUCUCCGCAUAUUAUGUGCCCAUAUGAACCGGCUAGAAAAAAAUGUAAUGUUCUAAUGACCAUAAUCUUUUGUUAAGAACUAAAAAAAGUCCAGGUUCACACUUUGCUCCAUGCUUUUAAUUAAUUUGUAUGUGGCUUAUAACUUUUCAGAUAUCUCUUUUGACUUCUACCAGCCUCUUUUCACAUAUUAUUGCUCUAUACCCUCUCAUGGAUUUAAGGUUUUUCUCCAAAUUCACAUGCAGUGUGAUAAAACACCUGAAAUUGCAUCUGAUCAUGUACUGUUUUGUUGAAAUAUAUGUCAGGUAAUCCUUGGACUGCUGAUGCACUGCGGUACACAUCUAUUGCCUCUGGUACCUCAUGCAUCCACAGGCCAUUUGUUCUUACGUAAUAUGGAGCUCAUUAGCCACACUACUACAAUCUCUCUUCACUUUCUGAAAACUAUAAAACUGAAAAGCUUUUCUACCCUCUUUACUAGAGUUGUAGAUACUUCAGUGUCUAGAGAACUGUUUUGACUUGAGGAGUUCACACCUUGGCACUUUUAAUGAUUACCGGUUUUUUAACCCAGGUAGCAACAAAUUUGAUGGCAUCAAUGCCACCAUGAUCAUGAGCCACCGGGGCAUUGCCCGCCUCCCCAUCAACAUUGAUUUUUGGGCAGCCUGUAAUCGGACGAGGUCAACCGUUAGCAGAUUAGGAAAUAGUGUCUGAGUUCAUAGGAGCCUGAUCUAAAAGAGCAGCGCUAAACAGAGGCCGACUUUUCUCUAUUCACUUGAAAUAGAUUUGACACUUGCUUUUGAAUAUAUCCACACGCUACACGUCGCCACAUGCCCACUCUAUCUUGCAACAGAAAUACUUUUUGUUCUUCAGCUAAUGUCUACAAGAAAGGCACGGCGUGCUGCCGCGCCAGUCCCUAAGUUAAGUAGGAUAAGCAGAUAGAAGAAGCAGAAGCUGGGGUCUCUACUCUAAUCCAUUCGAUUCCUUUUUGUUUUACCACAUUGAUUCUCUCGCAACUGAUAGUUCUUUGCUGAUUUACAUGUGCAUAUCUCAAACAACUGAGUCAGAACCCACAUGUAUGGAACUUUGUGUGUGUGUGAUGCUGAUUGUAUUCAUUUGACUGUAAAGUUCAAGUUUCUAUUCUUAGCUCAAUAUACAAAUUGAAGCUGAAGCCUUUAUAGGUAACAUGAAUUUUUCCAGUUUUAGCUAAUGCAGUAAACAACUCUUAUGGAUAGGGCGGGGUUUGAUACUUAAAUGCUGCAUCUUAUGUUGACAAGGCGCUGAGCCGCUGAUGCUAUUUAGAAAGUGUCAUACUUAUGGUAUAAUUUUACUUUGAACUAGGAGAAGUUUUCAUAUGAUAUCUAACAUGGGUGCAACAAAGAAAUCUUCAAUGUAGUAUUGAUGCACCCUAUAUAUUUGUUAUAUUUUAUCAUCUCUCUUCUAAUAUGGGACCAGCAAUAAAGGUAGCUGCAGUUCUCAAAUCAUUAACUUCAGGUCUCCCCUCAAAAAAAAAUCAUUAACUUCGGGUCUGCCUACUUCCAAUAUGCUCAAUAGUGUCUUCUCGAAGUUUACUUCUGAAUUAAGAAAUGUGAACCAUUGAUCAUGGAUUUAUUAAGGGUAUCUCCAUGAUUGGCAUCGACUUAGAAAUUACACAAGAUAAAUAUGUAUGAUUAGUCCAUUGGAUAUUCUCCGACGAUUUAAUCAUUAGUCAAUUGGAUAUUCUCCGAGGAUUUAAUCAAUUUCAGCUAUGGAUGCUGACUCAAUUUUCAAACCAAGGUAAAUAAAUCCCCUCCCUUAGAUAUUUUCUACUCAACCUUUCGCUUCAGAAAUUAGUAUAUGCACAAGCAUGAACCUCUGGUUGCUUAAUUUAUUUUGUACAAAUAGUUGGUUUUCAUUUGUUGCCCUGUUUUUCCUGUGAAUAAGGGAUUCGAUGAGACAUUAUCAUUGUCUCGCUCCUCUGAAUUGAGUUCACAAAGAAAUGAUAGUGUUUUGGACUUGUAGUCAGUUUUUGAAACCAAGUUAUUCUUAUUUCAGAGUAAUGAAUGUCUUUACCGUUGUUAAAUGCAACAAUGGCUAUGAUAAGUACAAAUAAGUAUGUGAUAAGUUCAUUUAUUUUUUUUGGCUCUCUGUUUGCUUAACCUUUCCAUCUCUUUUUAGUUUUGUGUCCUAAGAUUGUUGCUCCAGACCAGAAUCAUGUCAUUAUUCUGUUCAUUUGUUUGUGAGUUCUGAUAAUAAUAUUCUUUUUUUUCUGCGAUACAUGUAUCUUUAUGGAUGACGAAUUUCCCCAUAAAUUGGUUCUAUGUGAAGGCAAUCAUGAGCGUAUGAUCUCUUUGGUUCUUCCUGCAAGGCAAUGAUUCCUUUAGUUGCUCAUGUGGUAUCCUACUGUUUAUUUCUUUAGUGAUGACAGGUCAAGCAAUCAAUCCCGCUGUUGGGAAACUAAGUGAACUGUCGUUGUCGAUGGGAUAUUAUUGUUGGGUUCAUUGCUAUAAUGAGAAUGCUUUGGCAUAUAGUAUUUUCAUAAGUAUUCUGCACAAGUACUGAAGAAUGAUUCAAACAAGAUGGUGAAGUACAAGCCCAAAGUUCUCGACAAAGAUAGGUCAAGGUGACCUUACUAUCCCUUCCGAGGUAAUCUGGCGACCUUCUCUACAUUUGGAGGGUAAUGGUUUAUUUGUCUGCUUCUGUUCUUUACCAGUUACCAAUCCAUAGUCACUUAGUUAAUUUUGCAAUCACCAUUAGAAAUAGCUUUCCUGUUCAUUGAAGAUCAUGGUUUAUGCUGUGAUUAUUUCGAAUUGCUGAUAAAGUUAGGUGUGGGUUUAAGGCGAGUACGGUGACUAUAUAGUAGUACUCUUACAGGUUGUAUUGAAAAUUGUCACAUUGAGGGAUUUGGUCAAGAGAUUUGUUGGAUCAAUGUUUUAGGUUUGCAAACAUUAAAUUUAUAUUUUCAUUGCCAAUUCCAAACCUUGCUGUCCUCGAACGUUACGGUCUCUAGCUGACAUUAAAUUGUAUGUAUAGAUCUUAAACAGAGGAAGUAAUAUUCAUAUUUAGCAGUACCUAUUGUCUUAGUAGCCAUCUUAAGAGGGAUUAGUUAAAUUGUUGGUCACCGGUCUGAGCUAUUUUGUUGUCUGCCUACUUCAAGCCUAUCUUUUUUUGUUUUUGUUUUCAAGAACAGUUCAAACUUAUCUUCAAAUCCUAAAUUUUGCUACACUGAUGUUGUUCUACAGGUGAAAUACAUUUAUGUAGUGAAAUUUUUGGAAGACUUCAAGGUUCUCUAUGAUUUUUUUGAUUGCACAUCAGCGGUACAUUGAGACUUUCAUAUCUUUGAUGUAUCUUCUUCUAAUUCUUGGUUGGUAACUAAUUCAUAUACAUAGACACUGCAAGUGGUAAACAUGCAUGAGAAAGAAUUAUAGCACAUCCAUGCUCUCUUCGACGCCGAACCAGGGACUUUGGUUCCAUGUGACAACGGACCAUACUCUGCUCCAACCAUCGAUUUCUUCAACAAAUACAAGAACUCAUCACUCUUUUCUCCAAUGAAAAGAACAAUAAGCUGAGCUCUGAGUGCUUAGAGACCAGGGAACAGUCGCACUACCUGUUUUACUAUUCUACUUUACUAUUUCCUUAAGCUUGAUCAAUAAAAAUAUGUUAGUAUGUAGGUCAAGUAGAACCUCCUGUCUUCCAUGUACCGGAUAUGUAAAAGCCUCCAUGAGCUAUCUAAUCAGAUUUCUCAAUCUCACGGUCUACUUAUAUAUGUAUUAUUGUUGUUGUCUAAUCACUGCUCUUAUGUAUAAAUGCAUC